rnacentral:rRNA from 1 species
UACGUAGGGGGCCAGCGUUGUUCGGAAUUACUGGGUGUAAAGGGUUCGUAGGCGGUGCGGCAAGUUGGGAGUGAAAUCUCUGGGCUCAACCCAGAGACUGCUUCCGAAACUGCUGUGCUUGAGUGUGAGAGAGGCUCGUGGAAUUGCAGGUGUAGCGGUGAAAUGCGUAGAUAUCAGGAAGAACACCCGUGGCUAAGGCGGCUCUCUAGUACGGUACUGACGCUGAGACGCGAAAGCGUGGGGGAGCGAACAGG